rnacentral:rRNA from 1 species
UACGGGGGGGGGCAAGCGUUGUUCGGAAUUACUGGGCGUAAAGGGCUCGUAGGCGGCCAACUAAGUCAGACGUGAAAUCCCCAGGCUCAACCUGGGAACUGCGUCUGAUACUGGAAGGCUUGAAUCCGGGAGAGGGAUGCGGAAUUCCAGGUGUAGCGGUGAAAUGCGUAGAUAUCUGGAGGAACACCGGUGGCGAAGGCGGCAUCCUGGACCGGUAUUGACGCUGAGGCGCGAAAGCCAGGGGAGCAAAGCGGG